rnacentral:rRNA from 1 species
AGUGAACGCUGGCGGUAGGCCUAACACAUGCAAGUCGAACGGCAGCACAGUAAGAGCUUGCUCUUACGGGUGGCGAGUGGCGGACGGGUGAGGAAUACAUCGGAAUCUACUUUUUCGUGGGGGAUAACGUAGGGAAACUUACGCUAAUACCGCAUACGACCUACGGGUGAAAGCAGUGGAUCUUCUGACCUUGCGCGAUUGAAUGAGCCGAUGUCGGAUUAGCUAGUUGGCCGGGUAAGGGCCCACCAAGGCGACGAUCCGUAGCUGGUCUGAGAGGAUGAUCAGCCACACGAGAACUGAGACACGGUCCAGACUCCUACGGGAGGCAGCAGUGGGUAAUAUUGGACAAUGGGCGCAAGCCUGAUCCAGCCAUACCGCGUGGGUGAAGAAGGCCUUCGGGUUGUAAAGCCCUUUUGUUGGGAAAGAAAAGCAGCAGGUUAAUACCCAGCUGUUCUGACGGUACCCAAAGAAUAAGCACCGGCUAACUUCGUG